GACGAACGCUGGCGGCGUGCCUAAUACAUGCAAGUAGAACGCACAGUUUAUACCGUAGCUUGCUACACCAUAGACUGUGAGUUGCGAACGGGUGAGUAACGCGUAGGUAACCUGCCUGGUAGCGGGGGAUAACUAUUGGAAACGAUAGCUAAUACCGCAUAAUAUUAAUUAUUGCAUGAUAAUUAAUUGAAAGGUGCAAUUGCACCACUACCAGAUGGACCUGCGUUGUAUUAGCUAGUAGGUGAGGUAACGGCUCACCUAGGCGACGAUACAUAGCCGACCUGAGAGGGUGAUCGGCCACACUGGGACUGAGACACGGCCCAGACUCCUACGGGAGGCAGCAGGAGGGAAUCUUCGGCAAUGGACGAAAGUCUGACCGAGCAACGCCGCGGGAGUGAAGAAGGUUGUCGGAUCGUAAAGCUCUGUUGUAAGAGAAGAACGGGUGUGAGAGUGGAAAGUUCACACUGUGACGGUAUCUUACCAGAAAGGGACGGCUAACUACGUG
rnacentral:rRNA from 1 species